GAUGAACGCUGGCGGCGUGCCUAAUACAUGCCAGUCGAGCGAACGGACGAGAAGCUUGCUUCUCUGAUGUUAGCGGCGGACGGGUGAGUAACACGUGGAUAACCUACCUAUAAGACUGGGAUAACUUCGGGAAACCGGAGCUAAUACCGGAUAAUAUUUUGAACCGCAUGGUUCAAAAGUGAAAGACGGUCUUGCUGUCACUUAUAGAUGGAUCCGCGCUGCAUUAGCUAGUUGGUAAGGUAACGGCUUACCAAGGCAACGAUGCAUAGCCGACCUGAGAGGGUGAUCGGCCACACUGGAACUGAGACACGGUCCAGACUCUUACGGGAGGCAGCAGUAGGGAAUCUUCCGCAAUGGGCGAAAGCCUGACGGAGCAACGCCGCGUGAGUGAUGAAGGUCUUCGGAUCGUAAAACUCUGUUAUUAGGGAAGAACAUAUGUGUAAGUAACUGUGCACAUCUUGACGGUACCUAAUCAGAAAGCCACGGCUAACUACGUG
rnacentral:rRNA from 1 species